ensembl:lncRNA
CUUCCCUCUGCCACACCCCCGAUCCAAAGAGUUAGUACACUGCUGUCACGGUACCAUUUUCCCCUGUUGUAGAAACCUCCACCACCCACCAAAGAUCAGUUUUCCUCCAGUUUUCUUUCAUGCUCACUAAAAUGAUUGGCAAUGUGCACUGACCACAGUUACUUAAUCAGUCUCCUAGGUCUCUUUUUAUAUAGUUCUUGGCGUUCUCAAAGCAAGUAUAUUGGAGUGGUUUGCCAUUCCCUCCUCCAUCACUGAUUCAAUGGACAGGGACUUGGGAAAACUCUAGGAGAUGGUGAGGGGCAGGGAAACCUGGUGUGCUGCAGUCCAUAAGGUCACAAAAAGUUGGACAUGACUUGGUGCCUGAACAACAGCAACAAUUCCUAGGUCUCCGGGUCCAGAGCUGGCCUUCGGGUCCAUAUUUCGUCCAUCCUCACUUCCUCAAGCCAACUACUCUCAAGUUAUGCCUGUUCUUCCAAGAGUCUUGAUUUCCCGAUGUGGUAUUUAACCUUUUUGUUUUACAAAGAGCUGGUCUUGAAGCUUCUCACUUUAAAGACAACUCUCGGGGUUUACUUUACGAAGCCAACCAGAAGUUAUUUUCUAUGUUUAUUAAUUCAUCCCCUUCAACUUCCCUCACAAUGGGUCCUUUUCAAGGUUUUAACUAUAAGCAUUAAAUUACCCUCCUGACAUCCCUUUCCUCCUCCCCCCAGGAAUGCUUGGAAAGGAAUCCAAUUGUGGGCAGAUGUUAGGUCUUUCUCAAAAGCAUUCUGUGUCAAAUAACAAGUACCCAGUUGUAAUUCAAACAGAACACUAAUAGUGAUUUAUAUGUUAAGCAAGAGUGGUAAUUAUUGGCUUUGAAAGCAUAUCAUAAUGACUCUUUACAGUUGUUCUUAUAUUUUAUUAUUCUUCCUUUCUUAUUCUCUAGUCAGUGUUCUUAAUUAUACUGCUCCAGAAAAAUACACUGGGAGAAAAUACUGCAAAAAACAUGAGAUGGUGAAAUAUCCUGGCCACCAGAGCAUCCGGAUAAGAUUUGGAAGUAGAGAAUACUUAGAGCAGGACAUGGCACCCCACUCCAAGACUCUUGCCUGGAAAAUCCUAUGGACGGAGGAGCCUGGUAGGCUGCAAUCCAUGGGGUCGCUAAGAGUCGGACACGACUGAGCGACUUCACUUUCACGCAUUGGAGAAGGAAAUGGCAACCCACUCCAGUGUUCUUGCCUGGAGAAUCCCAGGGACGGGGGAGCCUGGUGAAUUGCCGUCUAUGGGGUCGCACAGAGUCUGACACGACUGAAGCAACUUAGCAGCACAGAGAAUAUUUUGGGCUCCAUAAAGGAAGUGAAUAUGAGCUUUUAUUUCUUAAUUUUUCAAAAUAGAGAGUAUUUUGACCAGCUGAGAGAACUGGAAGGAUAAAAAAAAAAAGAAAGUGGCUUAUGAAAAGGUAAGCAUUUUAGAAACCCCCAAGGCAUACUUUGGGUCCUAGCAGUCAGCCAGUGGGCUGCAGAAUCUGUCCACUGGAACUCUAUGUAAGAAUUUUUUUCCUUGCCUAUGUGUCCAUCUACCCACCAUUUGGUAACUGAACCUAGGUUUCCUUUUGGGCAACUAUCCUCUCACUACUCAAGCAUGAGUUCAAGGCCUGAGCUAAACAGAGGAUUAUAUUCCUCGGGCUAAAAUGUUGAUUCAAGACAUCAGCAAGACCAGAGGGCAAGGAGGUCACAGCGCUCAUCUCCCCAGCAAAAACAACCAAAUCAAAACCACAACAAAAACAUUUAAAAACUACAAACCAAAGAAAAUAGUUCAAGAAUGAGCACACAAGCCCCUCUAUGCCAGUGAUACACCAAAAGAAGUUUGUCAGAACUUUCCAUUGAAUGUGAACGUGAAAGAAUAUAGAAGCCAGGUCUCCUGUUGCCUUCUUGCUACCAUGCAGAGCCUGCCAAACAGGUUCAGUAAAUAUUUCUGCAAAUACCGGAGUGGGCACAGCCUAAAAACGGAGAGAAACUGAGUCUUGAUGACAUAAUUUGAGUCUUGAGUCAAGUCACACCUAUAGCAGAAUUCAGAGACAAGACGCUACACAUACAUAAAACAAAAAUUUGAACCAGGUGUCUGAGAAGAGUGAGGGGAAAACAGCGUGUCAUUAGAGAACAAGAGAAUCAUUGGCUUAGAG